AGGCCCAAAAAAUACAAUUAAAAGUAAUUAUUAAAAAAUACUUUAAAAAUAAAGCUCUUUCUCUUUCCACUCACGCUGUCUUAACUACAUACCACCCGGCUAGAUGUGUUUAUGUGUGCUAGGCUUCUCUCCAUUGGCCCUUAAAAUCAGGGAUGAUAUAAUUUAAGAAUUGCGUUCAACUACUGGUUGCAGAGAUCCCGAGUUAGGAUGGCUUCAGUACGAUAGAAGCUGCAUUUUCUCUCCUGUAAAAGGAGUCCAGAGAAAGCCGGCCUGGACAGGUAACGUGGACCCUAAGACAGCAUCACAGCCUUGGCCUCCUUUGGCUCUUCCCUCUGCCAUUCCCUAGAGUGUGAGCCUUAUCCUGUGUUUACCAGGUGGCUUCUGGAAGUCCAGCCAUCAUAUUUGUGUUCCAGGCAAGAUGGAGGAAAGGAUGAAGGGAAAAGCAAUUCCAUAGAAAUGCUGUUGGAUUCUUCUCAGACCAUCGUAUGAGGAGCCACCUGAUACUGGUUUGUCUUAAUAAUACCACUGACAAUGACUUGGAUUGCUGUUUAAAGUAGCAUCUGCCAGAUUUUUCCACUGUUAAGAUACUGGUUUUCUUUCGUGAAUAAUAAAUUAUUUAUAG